rnacentral:rRNA from 1 species
UCGCACCUACCGAUUGAAUGGUCCGGUGAGGCCUCGGGAUUGUGGCCUGGUUCCUUCAUUGGGACUUGGCCACGAGAACUUGUCCAAACCUUAUCAUUUAGAGGAAGGUG